CCCUGGGUGGCACAAACUUUUAGUGCACUUGGCUGCUAACCAAGAGACUGGAGGUUCAAGUCCACCCAGAGGUU
rfam:Loxodonta africana unplaced genomic scaffold scaffold_32, whole genome shotgun sequence.